UAGUAUAGUGGUAAGUAUUCCCGUUUGUCACGCGGGUGACCCGGGUUCGAUCCCCGG
rfam:Gossypium raimondii Chr08_contig_1050, whole genome shotgun sequence.